UUCCGUUUCUUUCUUCUACGGUCUUGGACAAUACCCAGAAGUCCAUAACCAAAAUGGAAUGAAGGUGGAGUUGAAGACUGAAAUUGAAUCAGAGUGGGACUUGGAGAUGGGAACGCAUGAACUUCCACAAAGCAAUUGAGAGAUGGGUACACGCAUUUGCAUUUGUUCUUAUCAAGAGAAGGCUUCAUUGUUUGAAGGUGUAAUUGAUUUCUCUACGCGUGGAGCCAGGCUCAAUAUUUGAUCCCGUUUCUUAGUCACCUAAAGGUGGUCGACAUUGGUGUUAGUAACAUGACCUCUGAGAUUGCAUUCACUUUUGUAAAGUUUUUGCUUAAAUAUGGAAGAGGCCUGCAAAAAAUGACUCUUAGCUUCUGGAGAAGCGGAAGUUCUCUUCCGCUGAAUUCGCUAAAUGAUACCAUUGAUUUAUUAAAGGGCUUCCCAGGGCAUCUACAGAUGUUGAGUUCUCAACAUUCUGCUAU